UACGUAGGGUGCAAGCGUUGUCCGGAAUUAUUGGGCGUAAAGAGCGUGUAGGCGGCCCGAUUAGUCCGCUGUGAAAGUCCAAGGGCCUCAACCCUGGAAUGCCGGUGGAUACUGUCGGGCUAGAGUCCGGAAGGGGCGAGUGGAAUUCCUGGUGUAGCGGUGAAAUGCGCAGAUAUCAGGAGGAACACCAAUGGCGAAGGCAGCUCGCUGGGACGUGACUGACGCUGAGACGGCGAAAGCGUGGGGAGCAAACAGG
rnacentral:rRNA from 1 species